rnacentral:lncRNA from 1 species
ACCCAUAGCAUAUGGAAAUUCCCAGGCCAGGGAUCGAAUCUGAGCCACAGCUAUGACAUAUGUCACAGCUGUGGCAAUGCCAGAUCAUUAAUCCACUGUGGCAGGCCAGACAUCAAACCCAAGCCUCAGUAAUGAACCCAGGUGCCACAGAGACAAUGCCUAGAGAGUUCCUUUCUGAGGGUUCUCCUUAUAAGAGAACAGUGUGAACUGGUUGUCCUUUUAGUUUGCUAAAUAGCAGCCAUGCUGACACUUUUCUUUAUCCCCUUUGCAUGGAACCUCUUGUUUUCAGUUGUCUACAUCUUCCUUCUCAUACUUUACUUAAUCAUCUAGAUAAGUCACAUUCUGCAGUGAUUUCCUAGGAAUCAGUCCAGGAACAGUACUUUUGGAGGACUGGAGAGAGGCCUCUUUUAGUCUAACAGCACACUGGCUGCCUGGGUAUAAAAUUCUAAGUAAUGAGAUUGGUUACCUUAUGGUUUUGAAGAAUUUUUCUACAGUGUAGUUGUUGAGAGGUCUGAUGCCACUGCACUCCUUUAGAUGUGAAACAUGCCUAUUUUUUCCCCUUGGGAAGCUCUUACCAUUUUUCUUUAUCCUUCAUGUGCUGAAAUUUUGUGAUGAUUUUCCAUGGUGUGGGUAUUUUCCAUUUAUUAUGCUGGAUAGUUAGUGGUCUUUUUCAAUGUGAAGAAAUAUCUUCAGAGAGAAGUUUAAUAAUUUUUUUGGUAAUUUCUUUUUCCUUUUACUUUUUCUGUUAUUCUUUUAUGGAAGUCCAAUUUGCAAUAUGGUGGGAUUCCUGGGUUAAGCCUUGAAUCUCAUGUUUAUUCCACCUUUUUUUUUUUAAUCUCUUUGCUUCUUGUUCUAUUUUCUAGUUCUCCAAACUUUCUCUUCCAGCCUAUUUAAAUUUAUAAUUAAAUAAAAUUAAAUCAAUUUAUAAUAUUUUUAAUUUCAAAGUUCUGCCUUUACUUAUUCAAAAUUUAAAUAGCAUCUUAAUGGAUUUUGUAUUUUCUUUUCCUUUUAGGGGGACGUUGUAUUUUCUUAUUUAAUGGACUCCUCAUUUUCUCAACUCUGUUUUUCUCUAACUUGUUUCUUUUCUUUUUGCUUUCGUAUUUUAAUUGUCUGGCUACCUCUUCAUUGUUAGUUUCCUCUGGAUCCCAUUAUACCGUUUAUUUAGGUUUAGUAUGUUUUUCAUGUUGGAGGUUUUCCUGGACAAUUACUGGGGUGAACUGUUGGAUAUUCACUCAUAUUAAGAAUGAAGCACCAAAAGAAAGUGUGUGGGUAGGACUUUGUCAAUUCGUGGGCUUCACUGAGAGUUAAUCAGCUUAAUCAGAUAAAAUGUCCUAUUUGUAGAAUUAUCUCCAAAUGUUUGACUCUGUGAAAAUCUCUUGUUCUGGGGAUAGUUAAGAGGUCUCAAAUGUAAAAUCCUAUUUCUUUUCUAUCUUUUGCUAAAUGUGUUCAAACUAUUUUGAGCAGGCUUUCCAAAAACUACAGUAAUUUCAAGGAUAUUGUGCAAAGACAUUCACUUCUUCUGAAUUCAUUAAAAUUAUUUUAUAAUUAAUUGUAAUGAUACUUUUAAGUGAUUUGUCAAUUUACAAUGUUUUAGGGAAAAAAAUUAAACUAGUUAAGUCAUUCCCACAGACUUACACAGCAUGUGAGACAUGUUUUAUUUUUAUUUAUUUAUUUAUUUUUUGGUCUUUUUAGGACCACACUUGCGGCAUAUGGAAGUUCCCAGGCUAGGGGUCUAAUCAGAGUUACGGCUACUGGCCUAGGCCACAGCCACAGCAAUGUAGGUUCCAAGCCACCUCUGGUUACCUACACCACAGCUCAUGGCAAUGCUGAAUCCUUAACCCACUGAGAAAGGCCAGAGAUCAAACCCGCAACCUCGUGGUUCCUAAUCAGAUUUGUUCCUGCUGUUUUUAGGUAACUCUGAUUUAGAUAAAUAUAGAACUGGAAAAGACUUUAAGCUAUUAUUCUGAAUCAACUAUCUUAUUUUUUUAGAAGAGAAAACAGUAUCUGAAUUGUUCUUCCAAGGUAAAUAUUUUUUGAAAUUUCAAAACCCGAUGUGUUAACAGUUUUUUCCAAAAGAGUUAACCUUGCAGAGUUCAGAAAACUGGGGGAAUUUUUAAAAAUUUUUUUCUUCUUUUUACGGUUGUACCUAUGGCAUGUGGAUGUUCCCAGGCUAAGAGUUGAAUCCGAGCUGCACCUGAAAACCUACAUCACAGCCAUGCCAGAUCCAAGCCACAUAUGUGAAAUACACCACAGCUCUCAGCAGUGCUGGAUCCUUUAACCCAGUGAGCAAGGCCAGGGAUUGAACCCACAUCCUCAGAUACUAGUUGGGUUCUUAACCCAUGGAGCCACAAUGGGAACUACCAAAUUUGUGGAUUUGAAUUAAGUAUUCUCUCUCCCUUAUAUCAGGUCAAAUAUGUUCAACUUAUACCUUAAGCAUUCAAAUUUUCCUCUGAGGAAUUUCUUCUUUGGUGAAGUGGGUUAAGAAUCCUACUGCAGUGGCUCAGAUUUCUGCAGAGGUAUGGGUUCAAUCCUUAGGCCAUUCCACUGGGUUAAUGGAUCAGCAUUUUUGCAGCUUUGGCAUAGGUUGCAGCUGCAGCAAAGAUUCAAUUCCUGACCCAGGAACUUCCAUAUGCCAUGGGUGCAGCCAUUAAAAAAAAAAUAAAAAUUCUCCUUUGCUUUCCUACUGCCUUAAGUUGUUUAAAGCAAUACUGUUUUUGAUUAGGUUGGUGUAACAGCUUUCUAACCACCCCCUUCAUAUUGUGGGCACUUCAUACUGAUCCCUUCAUUUUCAAAACUUCAAUGAAUUUUAUUAUAUUUACAGUUUUACAACCAUCAUCACCAUCUAAUUUUAGAACAAUUCCAUCCCAAACCCCCAAUCCAUCCCUUCCCCCAAAUCUGUCCCUUUUAGUAACUGUAAACUUUUCAAUACCUGUGUAUUUCUGUUCUGCAAAGAAGUUCAUUGUAUCCUUUUUAAAGAUUCCACAUAUAAAUGAUAGCAUAUAUUUGUCUCUCAUUGUCUGACUAACUUUACUUUUAGCAUGAUAAUUUCUAGGUCCAUCCAUGUUGCUGCAAAUGACAUUUCAUUCUUUUUUAAGGCU